GCCUGGUCUCCAUGCAGAGCCUGGACGGGAGCCCGUGUCUGGCAGCCUCAUUUCAGCCCGCACCAGUCCCCCCCUCUGUCUUACUGUGGCUCCCCAUCUGCCCCAGAAGCCCCCAGGUGCCCGCCAGGAAUGGCCAGGGCAGUCGCACGCCGAGUCAACCAGGCGAUCCUGCCCUUGAUCCCAGUGAUAGGCACUUCUGCAGCCCCUCCCAUCGAUCCCAAAAGCCAGCCCCACCUCUGAACUCCCAGGCCCACCAGACACGCAGAACAGAGCGAACAAGGAGUUUUAAGAAAGGCAGGCAGAACUCACCCAGACGGCCAGGUGCUCAACUCACUGCCCGCGGGAAACGGGCCCCAGCUCUACAGGCUAACAGGGAAUGAAAGCGGGGCUUGUCCUUGCCCUGGCCCCGGCCCCCCAUUGUCCUAGAGCAGGCCCCAUGGCCUAGAGAGGCCCAGAGGUCAUGUUGGGACCUGGGAAGGGCCGCCUGCGCCCAGCACGCCUCUAUUCCUUUUGGAUUCCCCCUUACUUGACGGCUAGCAACUCCACGGCCAACGCGAGAAGCUAAGAGGCCCCUCCCGACGUCUCUCCACCCGUUCAUCCAUCAUCUUCCACCUGCCCGCCCAUCCCGACAUACCUCGGUCCAUCCACUCAUUGACCCGGAAAGCCAGCCCGUAAGCGUCCAUUCCAUGGACGUAUCCAACUGUAUCGACCAACCUGUUCAUGUAUCUCUCAGCCCGUCCACGGAUCCAGCCAGCGGCCCAACCAUUAGUCCCUCUGGCCACCUGACGAUGCAUCCAGUCGUCUACGGAUUCAUCUUCCCGUCGAUUCACCACCACCCACCAUCCCCACACAGUGCACUCAGCCAGCCAGCCAGCCACCGACCUGCCCACCGUCGGACCAGGACCGAUCGGUCCCGCUAUCCAUCCACCUGUCUACUUACCCAUCCACCCUCCCCCCCCACUUGCUCGUUGUCAAAAUCAAGGACCUCAGCCCCUUCCUAAGUCUGGGAAAGGCCAACCCCCGCCCCCAGCCCAACUUCCUUCCCCGGCCCUCCUCACUUGCUGCCGGCUCGAGACUAUGUGCCCUUUCCUGCUGCACCCAGGCCUGCUCUCUGGGUGGACAGGGGGCCCCAGCUCCAGGGUCAGGAGAACACAGGCGGGAUCCACGAAGAGCGAGCGGUCCCACAACCACCUUCAGUGGCAGGCUGAUCCCGCCCUGCCCCAGCCCAAGAACCCCGGCCAUAUCCAUGCACAAUAAAGAGGAAACGUCACAUCCU